CACAGUGACUGCCCUGGCUUUCUUUGCUUUGCCUCCUGUCUGUGUUUGAAAUCCCGAAAUCACCGCCUUGAGCUCUGAAGCCCAGCGGCUCCGAGGCUGCAAGCCUCUCCGCUGGCCCCAGAUGUGCAGCAUGCAGCUUGAAUCUCUGAGGACUCUGGUGGUGGAUGCCAACUCCAACUCACAGUGGGAAUCUGGCCCACAGGACCCAGCCUGCCACCCUCCAGGGAGCCGUGGAGAUUUCAGGAUUUCUCCUCUGCGAAAUGGGGAUAACAGCUCCCUCUUCAUCCGGUUAUGGUCAGGGCUGACCUAAGGGGGCUGAGGGUGAAGGCCACAGGCUGAGAAGCUCUUGCCAGUGGUCAGUGAGGAGCAGCAAAUUCGGGUCUUGGCACUUGAACUGUGGGAGGAUCAAUGCUGCUUGAAGCCAUCGGUUUCUGGGAAUUUGUCACAGCAGCCCAGGAAACACAUGCAGAAGGUUUGGAGAUUGGUCUUUCCGAUGACUAGGGUGCUUUGUGCCCAUUUCAACACUCUCUGCCCUCAGUGGCACAUUCAGACCACGUUGACUUGGGCAAUGGUGAGGGAAAUGCAAAGGAGUCACCCUCUUUGGUUUCUGAAAUGCGGACACACGUUACAAUGGAAACGAGCACUUGGGGCUCCCUGUCUCGGAAAAGUUGUUGAAUCAAUGCACGUUGAUUGCUUCAGCAAUCUAGGAAAUACUAUCCCAACAAAGCAAUUUGAAAUUCCAAACCUGUGACCACUGGACAAGAUCACCUUUCUCCCACUGAGAAGAAGAUCAGCGUUGGCUCGGGCCAAGUCUGGGAGACAGACAAGGCCUCCUUUCAACAUCGUGCCUCCAGGGGAACCAGGCCAAGUAUCGGCCCUCCAGAGACAGCUGCAGCCCUUGGAGGCCUCCCCACUGAGUCCACACCCCUGGCCCAGGGCACUCAGGCUAGCUGACCGGCCCUGCUCCCUGGCCAGCCUCAUUUCCUCCUGUUCUCUUGCUUGGUGCCCCUAGCAGCCGUCUUGCACCUGGCCACUGCUUCCCACGCCAGGGCCUUUGCCUUUGCUGUUCCCCUGCCUGGCAUGGUCUCGUCAUUCAGGGCUCAGCCUGAAUGUCACCUCCUCCUGGAAGCCUUACCCUCAUCUCGUUAUGUCCUACCCCAUCACCCUAUUUCUUUCCCUUGGGUCACCAGUAAGAACCUGGGUUGAGCUUGUGCAGCCGUCUCAUUGUCUUAGCCUCACGAAACUGUAAACCCUUUGACAAAAGGGAUCUGUCUGGUUUGUUUGACGUGUAACCCCAGCUUCCAGCCUAGCACAGAGAAAGCUCCAUGGAGACACUGACUGUCAGAUGACUGCAGACCUCCCCACAAGGAGGAGGGAAGCUGGCCUCCAAGGAGGCGCAUCCCACAGUGCAGUGGUCUCUGGCCAGGGUGGGUCAUUACGCCAUUGGUUUAUAGCGCCAUUUGCUUCGGCCCCUUUUGGUGGCAUCCCAGGGUUUAAAGUGACCAGGCAGCUAGUGUGGGGAGACGGGACACAGCUGUCUGAGGUCAGGGGGUCUGUAUGUGCCUCUCCGGCAGGGAACAGCCUCGGCCGUCAGAAGCCAGGUUUCAGCAUUUAGGAUGCAGCCAACAGCCAAAUUGCUUUCUUGGUUUUAUAUAUAAGGGCUUUUUUUGGUACCAUAAGGGCGGGUGGACAGGGCUGCCUUUGCUUCCUGGAGGGUCUGGUUCCUUUCGGGGAAGGUCUCAGUUGGCCACUGGAGUAACAGCACUGCGUCGGCCCAUGUGGCCAGCCAGCAUCCCUGUGCUCAUGGCUAAGGACAGGCUGUUACUCUGUUCUGCGGGUCUUGAAGUCAUUUGGUCAAGUGGACUUCAGAAGGAGAGAGAGAGAAGGACAGACAGCAUCCAUGGAGACUGCCACAGAGAAUGGAAAGAGAAUGGGAUCUGCAGUCUGAUGGGCUGGCAUAUCUCAGCAGCAGCAACAACAACACAAUAAUAUGGAAUUCAGUCCAGGCACGGUGGUUCCCGCCU
rnacentral:lncRNA from 1 species